UUUUAUUUGAGAGUUUGAUCCUGGCUCAGGAUGAACGCUGGCGGCGUGCCUAACACAUGCAAGUUGAGCGAUUUACUUCGGUAAAGAGCGGCGGACGGGUGAGUAACGCGUGGGUAACCUACCCUGUACACACGGAUAACAUACCGAAAGGUAUGCUAAUACGGGAUAAUAUAUUUGAGAGGCAUCUCUUGAAUAUCAAAGGUGAGCCAGUACAGGAUGGACCCGCGUCUGAUUAGCUAGUUGGUAAGGUAACGGCUUACCAAGGCGACGAUCAGUAGCCGACCUGAGAGGGUGAUCGGCCACAUUGGAACUGAGACACGGUCCAAACUCCUACGGGAGGCAGCAGUGGGGAAUAUUGCACAAUGGGCGAAAGCCUGAUGCAGCAACGCCGCGUGAGUGAUGAAGGCCUUCGGGUCGUAA
rnacentral:rRNA from 1 species